rnacentral:rRNA from 1 species
CAGCCCGCUCCCGGUAAAACGGGACGGCCCGCCAGAGGACCCCUAAACUCUGUUUCUAUAUGUAACUUCUGAGUAAAACCAUAAAUAAAUCAAAACUUUCAACAACGGAUCUCUUGGUUCUGGCAUCGAUGAAGAACGCAGCAAAAUGCGAUAAGUAAUGUGAAUUGCAGAAUUCAGUGAAUCAUCGAAUCUUUGAACGCACAUUGCGCCCGCCAGUAUUCUGGCGGGCAUGCCUGUUCGAGCGUCAUUUCAACCCUCAAGCACAGCUUGGUGUUGGGACUCGCGUUAAUUCGCGUUCCCCAAAUUGAUUGGCGGUCACGUCGAGCUUCCAUAGCGUAGUAGUAAAACCCUCGUUACUGGUAAUCGUCGCGGCCACGCCGUUAAACCCCA